GACUUAAAAUCCGUCGACUUUCAAGAUCGUGAGGGUUCAAAUCCCUCUAUCCCCAAAAAA
rnacentral:tRNA from 1 species